rnacentral:lncRNA from 1 species
GUUCACUUCACGCUAAACCACCACGUGAGGGGGAACUCAGCCAACGCCAAGGAACGGCUAUGUUUUCAAAACAAAAACAUGAUUUAUGUGAAAUGUGAAUUUUAAUAGCCUUGGCGGUCUCGGUAGGAUGCCUCGGCCAAGGUGUCCCCGAGAAUGGAUUUAUGGCACAAGCCUAGAUUUUUAUGAGAUUCAUAAGCCUUUUUACGUGUUUUGAACAAAAUGUGUUCUAAUGCUAUAACCCAGUUUAUGAUGAUUUACUUUAUUGUCUCCAUGUACUCAACUCUAGA